UGGUCACCGGAGCCCACGCUGACCAGCCCAGACUGGACGGGGACGUGGCUGUGACGUACGCAGUGGUAGGAAAAGGCAGCUCUCGAGGGCGGGACACCCGGACGGCUCCGUAGCACUGGGAUUCCCAGUGCCCCACAAGCCUGCGUGAGCCCCACACUCACUGCCAGCCUAAGCAGAGCCCCAGGAAGGAGACGGUGAUGGAGCCUGUUUACCAGCCAGCAAGAACCAACGUUUGGGUCAAUCGAUGACACAGGGAAA